rnacentral:tRNA from 2 species
AAAAAGGCCGGAAUAGCU